rnacentral:rRNA from 1 species
CCCUUUGGUACGGAAUANCUCAGGGAAACUUGAGCUAUACCGUAUGAUGUCGAGAGACCAAAGAUUUAUCGCCAGGGGAUGAGCCCGCGUCCGAUUAGCUUGUUGGUGGGGUAAUGGCCUACCAAGGCGACGAUCGGUAGCUGGUCUGAGAGGAUGAUCAACCACACUGGGACUGAGACACGGCCCAGACUCCUACGGGAGGCAGCAGUGGGGAAUAUUGGACAAUGGGCGAAAGCCUGAUCCAGCAAUGCCGCGUGAGUGAUGAAGGCCUUAGGGUUGUAAAGCUCUUUUACCCGGGAAGAUAAUGACUGUACCGGGAGAAUAAGCCCCGGCUAACUCCGUGCCAGCAGCCGCGGUAAU